ACGAAAACAGAGCGAGAAGUUGGAGCUGCAGACACAGAAGAGGGAGUGGAGAGAAACCACCGAGCUCUAGCGUGGACUUUCCUCCACAGCUGUCCUCUGCUCCCAGUCUGUCCAGAGAGACACCAGGGAACGUGGUGAUGUGGCUCUCCACCCAGGGCGGCAGUGGUCCGAGGGGCGCCUCAAAGAAUAGGAGAAAGUUGAAGGUAAAAACUCGCCAGAUGAGCCGGAUUCGAAGUCAAUCUAAAUUUCCGACAGCUUGGACUGAAAACCUGCCAGCAGAAGGUUCAAAGGUGAGUUUCUCUGCCCACAUCAGUGAGCCUGAAUCCGUCUGGCCUCCGUCGCUUUGUGGUUCAAAACCAGAAAAGUGACAGAACUGGAACGACAGAAAGGGAAAAUGUCAUCAGUGUUGGAGGAUGUUUGGUCUGUCGGCGGCUAACAGCUUGAUUUAGCUGCCUGACUCCGCUGAUGUUGUUUUUAUUUCCCCUUAAAGAGCUUCCUCCUUCCCGUUCUCUUUGGUUCACUCAUCCACGACUGCAGCGAUUGACUUACUCUAGAAAUUAGCGAACCAAACCAUGGCCGUGAUAAUCAAUCAUCAUUUUAAAUCAUUGUGCUGUAAGUUGUUUGUUUUGCUUUCCCUCCAUCACCUUCUUCCUCUUUUUUCUUUUCAGUCCAUGUUUGAUGUGAUGAUUGAAACCACCUGAAAACCGGCGAACGCGUCCACCGGAUACGAGAAGACAAGGUCGAAACGACGACACGCCGAGCGCCUCUGUAACGUGGGAAACAAAUAUCUGUUGUCAUCUUGACUCUGUAAAGAAAGGCAUGAGUUUUUGUGUGUCUAAAUAUAAAAAAAAGUAGGUUUGUUACAGUUCUUUUUUCUUUUUUACUGGAUCUGGAUAAUUAAAAGCCAAGUUUCAGCUACUGCAAAGUUUCCAAUGUGCAGUAACUCAGAGCAGCGGGAAGCUCCUCCCAUAUGGUGCUCCCAGCAGGAUAAAACAAACACAACUUCUGUUUGGCAGUAAUUCUGUGCAUCACAUCCCACACGCUGUACAGCAGUUUCAUCUGAGUUCAACAUAAAAUACAGCAGCAGGCAAAAUCUCCCCUCUAAAGACGUGGAUUUUGACUGGGUUGAUCCUGUGGAGUAUCGGCAAAAAACAUUCUACUGAGCAGCAACGUUGAAAGACACCGUAAGGCGUUCUUACUUUUCACACAAUGAGUUUGUAAAAUCAUUUUAAUGCUAGGGCAUAAAAAAAUGUCUCUUUGGGUGCAGAAAUAAUACUCUUGCACGUUCUGUCUUUAAAAUGAUCUAUUUCAGUCCAGACUCCUCUGAUUUUCAUUUUCUUAUUUGCUUUUGCUCUAAAACCACAGAUGAUGUCGUUCAUCGAUGCAUUUAAAGUGUUGCAUUUGAUCAAAUUCACAGUCUGAUUAAAGCGGCUUAAAAAAGUUCGUUUUAAAAUCUCUUAAAUCUGAAUCAUAAGCAGAUUUUCUUUUCACUGCCUUAAGCAACGCAGGGCGAAAAUCAAGUAAACAUUUGUUACAAAAAUGUAACAUAAAUGUUUAGCACUGCCGUCAAAAACACGAGUUCUCCCCUGAUCCUCUCUGACUGAUAAUCAUUUUGUCAAACACUGAAAAAUUGGAUUAUUUUCUUAUUUGUCUCUUUGUUGAAGGCAUUUAAGCGGAAAAGUGUAAUUUUGUUUGGCGUAUAAAGUUAUGCUCCACGUUUGUUACAAUGUAAUUGUUAAAUAAACAAAUAUAUUUUUCAUAAUUCCUAGAAAGCAAAUCUAAAUCAGCAAGUCAAGCUACAAGUAAAUAAAUUGGUACCAGAGGAUGAAAUCUCAAUAUUUAACUUGGUGAAGUGUGCAUCUUAAUAGAGAACAUCUUAAUAAGCUCUUAUUUAUUUUAUUAUUAAACCAAACUAGGUUAAAUUUAUGAAUCUGUUGGUAAUCCUUUUGUUCUAACAUGUUUUUAAUCAGUCCUCUGGAUCAGGUGGUUAAAAUGACUUCAAUAAACCUGAUUAUUUCAUCUCAGCUCUCAAAUUCCUCUUUUUAACAUGAAAAAAUUCACAUUUCACAAUAAAAAAACAAAAACAGUCCUUUGGUUAAAAAUUAAUGCAGACACGCAUUAAAACGUGGCACCAAAUGACAAAGAAAAGUCUUUUUCAAAAGCUUCAGGGAUGAAAGUCAGAACAUUUUUCAUGUAGGCAAAUAUUUAUCUUCAGAUGUUUGUUUUGUUUUUUUGCAGACUAACACAAAGUUAAAUCCAGCGGGUUGUGAGUUUCAGCGGCGAUGAUAAAAUGAUGUUUGCUGCUCAGUGUGGUGUGUCUCCACUUCUCUACCUAUCUCUCUCCAUCACAUAAAUCAGCGACUCAUGCAGCCGUAUCUCUUCCUCCUCCUCCUCCUCCCGGUCGCUCUGUUCAUCCCCUCUGCCUCACUCCGCUGGCUUUUAUUAGGACUGUAGAUGGAGAAAGCAGAAGUCUCUGCAGAACGCAUGCACACAGACAGACAGGGGGGAGCGUUGCCAUAUGUGCGGGAAAAACGCGUGUUACGUUUACAGACUGUCGGGAAGUCGCGCUCAGAGAGGUGCGAGAAAACAGAAAGAAACACAUUCACCUGAAACUCAGAGCCGGGAGGUCAAGCGCCAGGUGAGGGUCAAAGUCAGGUCUGUUGCACCACAUUUUCUGGUUCGGCGAGCGUCUACCAAACAUCCAUUACGAAUGUGUGUGUUUGUGGAGGCCGUCUCUGUGUCAUUAAUCUGUUUGCGCACCCAGAAACCGGACAGCGGCACGGUUCAAACCCAAACAGUCAGACGGCGUCCUGGCGGAGGGCGCAGCAGGAGUCGAUGUGUGUCUGUGAGCUGAAGAGCUGCUGCGAGGCGAAGCCUUUCUGAAGGACGCAGGUUCAGAUAAAAAAGAAAAAAAGAGAAAAGAAAAAGAGAGAGGCCUCCGGUAUGCAAUCGUGUCCCUGAAGUAGGCGGGGAGGAAAAUAAACCACUUGCACAAGAUAACAGGCACCGUUUAGUCUGCAUGUGGAAGGAGAUAGAGAGCGAAUGGAGGAGGCGAGUGGAAACCAGAGGAGAGGAUACAGUAUUAUGCUUCGGUACAUACGGUGCUGGUGUUCAUAAAAGUUCUAAUAGAGUUGAGGUUGCGGUCAUUCCAGCAGCUUGAUGUUUUAUCCAUACCAAAACCAGUUCUGAUGUGUUUUGGAUGAGUUUUCUGUUAAAAAACAAAAAAACAAAAACUGAGUUCAGGUUUUGAAAAUCUAGCUGUUGAUUUGAUGUGAAAUAAAAGGGAAUUGGGAGGGAGGGUAAUCCUUCUUCUUUAUUAUUAUCUUUAUUAUUCCAUCUUCAUUUACAGCCACUGCCUUUUAUAUUUAUUAAGAACUAGACAAGCUGGAUAUGUCUGACCAACUCAGAGCUCAAAAUCCAAUAUGGCUGCCUUACAAAAAAAAAAAAAAGUUACUUUGUGAUUGCUAAUAUAAAAGAUAAAACAAUGAUUAUUUCCACUUUGGUUAUCUGUAAAUUAAACAUUUAAUUGAUUUUCCUUGGCUUUACCCCUAAGAGAGGAAGUAAGGAAGACUGUAUUAAUGCACAUAAAGGUAUAGUUGGUUUUUUACAGA